rnacentral:lncRNA from 1 species
UUCUAAUCUACAACUAGUCAAUAUUAGUUUUCAGACUGUUAAGGCUGCCAGGCAGGUUAAAAUUUAAUACACGUGUAAUUAGUGGUAAAGUAGAAGAGAAUCUUCAAGUAAAUAGCUCAGCAGCUGAGUUGGCCUAUUGUGUUGCAAAAUGAGCUGUGAACUUAAUGUAAGAAGAUCUGACGCUCUACUGAGGACGGCUGAUGUUGCACUGAAGAGAAUUUCACUCAAAAUAGCUUGGGGAAAACAAGUGUCAUGGUAAAGAUGCUGGGAUCACACAAGAACUGAACAAGACCUGCAACACAGCUGGACUGGAUGGAAAAUGAAGCCAGAGAUUUGCUCUGGAAUGAAAGCCGAACUUGAGCAUAAAUUGGAAUCCCUCAAGAGUCAGAUUUUAGAAUGUGAUGCCGUGGCAGCUGUCCUAUGGUAAUGUGUUUUGCAGUUAACCCCCUGAGUCCCA